AGUCUCGUCUUCCCUCUGAUCUCUGCUCGCGGAGGCUCGACUCGUGAUCGCGAGAGCGGAAACCGAGGGCCGGUUGGUAAGAUCUGCCCCCAUGGAUGAGCAAAUCUCUGAUGCAGCUGGAGAUGUGAUCAAGGAGGAAACAAGUCGAGGGUUGAACCCAGGGUUGGUGGUCUUGCUUGUUGUGGGAGGACUUAUACUGCUCUUCCUCCUCGGAAACUAUGCGCUCUAUAUGUAUGCACAGAAGACCCUUCCGCCAAGAAGGAAGAAGCCAAUCUCAAAAAAGAAGUCGAAGAGGGAAAGGCUCAAACGAGGGGUGUCUGCACCUGGAGAGUAAACAUACACAGUAGCCAACGAAGAAAAAGAAGAUAUUGAUGAUGAACACUUUAUUUCGUAGAUUUUGUUUAUUGACGAAUUGGCUAACUGGUUUAUACUAAACUUGAUCGAUUCUCAGACCAGAAUUGCUA